rnacentral:rRNA from 1 species
UUCGACACACUAUCAUUAACUGAAUCCAUAGGUUAAUGAGGCGAACCGGGGGAACUGAAACAUCUAAGUACCCCGAGGAAAAGAAAUCAACCGAGAUUCCCCCAGUAGCGGCGAGCGAACGGGGAGGAGCCCAGAGCCUGAAUCAGUGUGUGUGUUAGUGGAAGCGUCUGGAAAGGCGCGCGAUACAGGGUGACAGCCCCGUACACAAAAAUGCACAUAUUGUGAGCUCGAUGAGUAGGGCGGGACACGUGGUAUCCUGUCUGAAUAUGGGGGGACCAUCCUCCAAGGCUAAAUACUCCUGACUGACCGAUAGUGAACCAGUACCGUGAGGGAAAGGCGAAAAGAACCCCGGCGAGGGGAGUGAAAAAGAACCUGAAACCGUGUAC